GCUAGUGUGGCAAUGUGGUUUGAGUUUUGGACUAUGACUCUGGAGACAAGGGUUCAAACCCCUGCUCAACCA